rnacentral:rRNA from 1 species
UGGGGAAUAUUGCACAAUGGGGGAAACCCUGAUGCAGCCAUGCCGCGUGUGUGAAGAAGGCCUUCGGGUUGUAAAGCACUUUCAGUGGGGAGGAAGGGAUGAUGUCUAAUACGCAUUGUCAUUGACGUUACCCACAGAAGAAGCACCGGCUAACUCCGUGCCAGCAGCCGCGGUAAUACGGAGGGUGCAAGCGUUAAUCGGAAUAACUGGGCGUAAAGCGCACGCAGGCGGUUAGAUAAGUCAGAUGUGAAAUCCCCGGGCUCAACCUGGGAACUGCAUUUGAAACUGUCUGACUAGAGUCUUGUAGAGGGGGUUAGAAUUCCAGGUGUAGCGGUGAAAUGCGUAGAGAUCUGGAGGAAUACCGGUGGCGAAGGCGGCCCCCUGGACAAAGACUGACGC